rnacentral:rRNA from 1 species
UACGUAGGGUGCGAGCGUUGUCCGGAUUUAUUGGGCGUAAAGAGCUCGUAGGCGGCUUGUCGCGUCGUCCGUGAAAACCUGCGGCUCAACUGCAGGCUGGCGGUCGAUACGGGCAGGCUGGAGUUCGGUAGGGGAGACUGGAAUUCCUGGUGUAGCGGUGGAAUGCGUAGAGAUCCGAUAGAAGACCGGUGGCGAAGGCGGCCUGCUGGGCAGUAACUGACACUGAGGCGCGACAGCGUGGGGAGCAAACAGG